AAGAAAAAGGGGUGAAAAGAACAAAGUUUUGUCCAUCUUUGUUCAUCAUAGCUGAAAGUUAGAGAAGAGAAAGGAGAGGAGAAAGCUUUUGAGUAUUCAGUCAUUAGGAGGAGGAAAAUUGAAGGCGGUUCGUGUGUGGAUCUUGUCAGCAUAUCGUCGCAAACAGGAAAUCCCCAACCAUAGUGGGCUUGGAGUUGUGAGGGAAUUCGAAGUGGCCACCCGUUCUGAAAGUUUGAUUUUCUUCUGGUGAACUGGACAUCCUUUUAAUUACGUUUGAGGUUUUGGGCUUUUAAAUGUAAUAA